rnacentral:rRNA from 1 species
UAAAGUGGCGCACGGGUGAGUAACGCGUGGGUAAUCUACCCUCGAAUUGGGGAUAACAUCGCGAAAGUGAUGCUAAUACCGAAUGACAUUUUGAAAACAUAUGUUUCCAAGAUCAAAGGUGGCCUCUACAUGUAAGCUAUUGUUUGGGGAUGAGCCCGCGUACCAUUAGCUUGUUGGUAGGGUAAUGGCCUACCAAGGCUACGAUGGUUAGCUGGUCUGAGAGGAUGAUCAGCCACACUGGAACUGACACACGGUCCAGACUCCUACGGGAGGCAGCAGUGAGGAAUUUUGCGCAAUGGGGGAAACCCUGACGCAGCAACGCCGCGUGAGUGAUGAAGGCUUUCGGGUCGUAAAGCUCUGUCAAGUGGGAAGAACCCAUAUGGUGUUAAUACCGCCAUAUGCUGACGGUACCACUGAAGGAAGCACCGGCUAACUCCGUGCCAGCAGCCGCGGUAAUACGGGGGGUGCGAGCGUUAUUCGGAAUUACUGGGCGUAAAGAGCGCGUAGGCGGGUCUUUUANGUCAGGUGUGAAAGCCCGGGGCUCA